rnacentral:rRNA from 1 species
GACGAACGCUGGCGGCGUGCUUAACACAUGCAAGUCGAGCGGUAAGGCCCUUCGGGUACGACGAGCGGCGAACGGGUGAGUAACACGUGGGUGACCUGCCUCUAGCUCUGGGAUAAGCCUGGGAAACUGGGUCUAAUACCGGAUAUGACUCCACGGCGCAUGUUGUGGGGUGGAAAGCCUUGUGUGGCUAGAGAUGGGCCCGCGGCCUAUCAGCUUGUUGGUGGGGUGAUGGCCACCAAGGCGACGACGGGUAGCCGGCCGUGAGAGGGCGACCGGCCACACUGGGACUGAGACACGGCCCACGACUCCUACGGGAGGGCAGCAGUGGGGAAUCUUGCGCAAUGGGCGAAAGCCUGACGCAGCGACGCCGCGUGAGGGAUGACGGCCUC